rnacentral:misc_RNA from 1 species
UGGCUCUCGCAUCGAUGAAGAACGCAGCGAAAUGCGAUAAGUAAUGUGAAUUGCAGAAUUCAGUGAAUCAUCGAAUCUUUGAACGCACCUUGCGCUCCUUGGUAUUCCGAGGAGCAUGCCUGUUUGAGUGUCAUGAAAUUCUCAACUGCCUUUUAGCAUUUAUGUUAAGGGUGAAGUUGGAGUUGGAGGAUAAUUGCUGGCGCAACUGAGGUUGCUUGUUGGCUCCUCUUGAAUGAAUGAGUUUUUCUGAUGGAUCAUAGCUCAGUAACACUAAUGUGAUAAUUAUCUACGUUAGAUGUGAAGAGGCUCCUACAGAAAAGGUGUAUCUUGGGGAUAACAAACCCUUGACUUUGACAAAUCUGACCUCAAAUCAGGUAGGACUACCCGCUGA